rnacentral:rRNA from 1 species
UGGGGAAUAUUGGACAAUGGGCGAAAGCCUGAUCCAGCCAUGCCGCGUGUGUGAAGAAGGCCUUUUGGUUGUAAAGCACUUUAAGCGAGGAGGAGGCUACUUGGAUUAAUACUCUAGGAUAGUGGACGUUACUCGCAGAAUAAGCACCGGCUAACUCUGUGCCAGCAGCCGCGGUAAUACAGAGGGUGCGAGCGUUAAUCGGAUUUACUGGGCGUAAAGCGUGCGUAGGCGGCUUUUUAAGUCGGAUGUGAAAUCCCUGAGCUUAACUUAGGAAUUGCAGUCGAUACUGGGAAGCUAGAGUAUGGGAGAGGAUGGUAGAAUUCCAGGUGUAGCGGUGAAAUGCGUAGAGAUCUGGAGGAAUACCGAUGGCGAAGGCAGCCAUCUGGCCUAAUACUGACGCUGAGGUACGAAAGCAUGGGGAGCAAACAGG